rnacentral:rRNA from 1 species
GACGAACGCUGGCGGCGUGCUUAACACAUGCAAGUCGAGCGGUAAGGCCCUUUCGGGGGUACACGAGCGGCGAACGGGUGAGUAACACGUGAGCAACCUGCCCCUCUCUUUGGAAUAAGCGUUGGAAACGACGUCUAAUGCCGAAUAUGACCCCCUGUCGCAUGGUGGGGGGUGGAAAGCUCUGGCGGAGAAGGAUGGGCUCGCGGCCUAUCAGCUUGUUGGUGUGGGUAAUGGCCCACCAAGGCGACGACGGGUAGCCGGCCUGAGAGGGUGACCGGCCACACUGGGACUGAGACACGGCCCAGACUCCUACGGGAGGCAGCAGUGGGGAAUAUUGGACAAUGGGCGAAAGCCUGGUCCAGCAACGCCGCGUGAGGGAUGACGGCCUUCGGGUUGUAAACCUCUUUCAGCAGGGACGAAGCGAGAGUGACGGUACCUGCAGAAGAAGGACCGGCCAACUACGUGCCAGCAGCCGCGGUAAGAC